GACGAACGCUGGCGGCGUGCUUAACACAUGCAAGUCGAGCGGUAAGGCCCUUUCGGGGGUACACGAGCGGCGAACGGGUGAGUAACACGUGGGUGACCUGCCCUCAGCUCUGGGAUAAGCCUGGGAAACCGGGUCUAAUACUGGAUAUGACUCCAUGACGCAUGUUGUGGGGUGGAAAGCCUUGUGCGGCUGAGGAUGGGCCCGCGGCCUAUCAGCUUGUUGGUGGGGUGANGGCCUACCAAGGCGACGACGGGUAGCCGGCCUGAGAGGGCGACCGGCCACACUGGGACUGAGACACGGCCCAGACUCCUACGGGAGGCAGCAGUGGGGAAUCUUGCGCAAUGGGCAAAGCCUGACGCAGCGACGCCGCGUGAGGGA
rnacentral:rRNA from 1 species